rnacentral:rRNA from 2 species
CAAACGACUCUCGGCAACGGAUAUCUUGGCUC